rnacentral:rRNA from 1 species
GAUGAACGCUGGCGGCGUGCUUAACACAUGCAAGUCGAACGAAGCGACUAUGAUUGAGAUUUCGGUUGAUUGAUUAGUUGACUUAGUGGCGGACGGGUGAGUAACGCGUGGGUAACCUGCCUCGUACAGGGGGAUAACAGUUAGAAAUGACUGCUAAUACCGCAUAACCCGCUAAAGUCGCAUGACUUAGACGGAAAAGAUUUAUCGGUACGAGAUGGACCCGCGUCUGAUUAGCUAGUUGGUGAGGUAACGGCCCACCAAGGCGACGAUCAGUAGCCGGCCUGAGAGGGUGAACGGCCACAUUGGGACUGAGACACGGCCCAA